GAGGCUAUAGCUCAGUGGUAGAGUGUGUGCUUAGCAUGCAUGAGGUCCUGGGUUCAAUCCACGUACCUUCA
rnacentral:tRNA from 1 species